rnacentral:rRNA from 1 species
GUCUACGGCCAUACCACCCUGAACGUGCCCAAUCUCGUCUGAUCUCGGAAGCUAGCAGGGUCGGGCCUGGUUAGUACUUGGACGGGAGAUA